AGCGAACGCUGGCGGCAGGCCUAACACAUGCAAGUCGAACGGAUCCUUCGGGAUUAGUGGCGGACGGGUGAGGAACACGUGGGAACGUGCCUUUUGGUUCGGAACAACUCAGGGAAACUUGAGCUAAUACCGGAUAAGCCCUUCGGGGGAAAGAUUUAUCGGCCAUUAGAGCGGCCCGCGUCUGAUUAGCUAGUUGGUGA
rnacentral:rRNA from 1 species